rnacentral:rRNA from 1 species
CAGUCGCCGCGGUAAAACGUAGGGUGCGAGCGUUAAUCGGAAUAACUGGGCGUAAAGGGCACGCAGGCGGUGACUUAAGUGAGGUGUGAAAGCCCCGGGCUUAACCUGGGAAUUGCAUUUCAUACUGGGUCGCUAGAGUACUUUAGGGAGGGGUAGAAUUCCACGUGUAGCGGUGAAAUGCGUAGAGAUGUGGAGGAAUACCGAAGGCGAAGGCAGCCCCUUGGGAAUGUACUGACGCUCAUGUGCGAAAGCGUGGGGAGCAAACAGGAUUAGAUACCCCGGUAGUCCCUGUCUCUUAUAC